rnacentral:rRNA from 1 species
ACUCAAAGGAAUAGACGGGGGCCCGCACAAGCGGUGGAGCAUGUGGUUCAAUUCGACGCAACGCGAAGAACCUUACCUGGGCUCGAACGGGAAGUCAACGGCGGUAGAAAUAUCGCUACUCCGCAAGGAGGUCUUUUCGAGGUGCUGCAUGGCUGUCGUCAGCUCGUGUCGUGAGAUGUUGGGUUAAGUCCCGCAACGAGCGCAACCCUUGUCCUGUGUUGCCAUCAUUAAGUUGGGAACUCGCAGGAGACCGCCAGCGAUAAGUUGGAGGAAGGUGGGGAUGACGUCAAGUCAUCAUGGCCUUUAUGUCCAGGGCUACACACGUGCUACAAUGGCCGGUACAAUACGACGCUAACCCGCGAGGGGGCGCUAAUCGCUAAAAACCGGUCUCAGUUCGGAUUGCAGGCUGCAACUCGCCUGCAUGAAGCUGGAAUCGCUAGUAAUGGCGUAUCAGAAUGACGCCGUGAAUACGUUCCCGGGCCUUGUACACACCGCCCGU